UUUAAAUUUUUCAUAUUUUUUUACUUGAACUAAAUAUUAUGUUUUGUCCGUUUAUUAUCAAAAGUGUCAGACAUCACAAAGAAUAUGGGAAUGUCAUAAACAACUUGACAUCACGUACUGAAAGUGUCCUUUUCGCUCCUUGUCAGUGCAAAUUUUGCUUUAGUGUUAUUGUAUUUAUAUUUGAUUCUCUGCGAAAAAAUCAUCCCUGCUGAUUUAUUUUUUGAGACGUUUCCAAAUAGCAUUAUGGUUUGAUAUCUCAAACUCUGAAAUAAUUUCAUCUGUGGAAGCAAAAAUGAUGCCGCUGAAAAAUCUAAAGAAACAAAAAAAAACUACGCAAGUGAGUUGAAUAUGGGAUUGUGUAUGAAAAUGGAGUAUAACCACUGAUUUUACGAGUUACAAUUCAAUUUGUAAACACAUUGCAUGACAAAGACUGCGUUUCUAACUUUCAAUAUAUACAAUAUUAUGUUGUCCAAGAAUUAAUGGUGAAAUGUCUUCGAAGUAGCAUAAAUCUAUCUAAAAAAAUUAAUAAUUGAAAUAUGUUAAGAAUCAUUUGAAUUAACGAU